rnacentral:lncRNA from 1 species
UGAGCGGCAUGACAGUGCUGAUGGAGGCGGCGCCGGGCUAGGGGUCAGAGGGCUGCGGCGCUAGGGUUUCUUUUCUGAAACCCUAGCUUAGCUUUGAGGGGGGUUGGGCCAGUUGGGCCUUGUUUUGGGCUCCGGGUUAGGCUAGGUCUAGGUGGGUUUGGAAUUGGGUAGUUGGGGUUUAAUUGUUUUUGUUUAGUUUAGGGUUAAUUGGGUUUUGGGCUAAAAAUUGGGCUUGUACA